rnacentral:misc_RNA from 1 species
AUUUUGUGCACAAACUUGAUGCUUUCCCCUUUGAUAAGUCUGACGCAGCAAGAAUCCAGAUUAAUCAGGUCCCUUCCAAGGAGUAGAUUGGCACAUGCUGCUUCAAAUGUGAGAUUUGAGGUCUUGUUUGUGCACAAUGGAAUUCCAAGAUGGAUUGCGCGGAAGGAAUGUGUCUGAGACGUAAGAGCAUGAGGGAAUGACAGAAAGGGAAUGUGAUUGAGCGUGUGAAAAGGCAGCAAUACAGAGAUGAGAAGCCAGGCCUAAUCCACGCUUGGUACGAGGGACAUAGGUGUGGAGAAUGUCCAUCACUCUGCCUCCAUCUCUCAGCUCAUACUCCAAAUAGGCUUCCUUGUCCUCUGUUUCGAACCUCCCUACUCUCUCGCUCCACACUAUCUUUGGCGCCUCAGUAGCCAUCAUCUCACUUAGCCCCUGUUGUCUAAUCUAAAAUCAGCAAAAACACUGCAAGCUGAGCUGCCCCUUCGAAUUGGGAGGCGAAGCUUUAUCUUGUUAUGAGAAUGGAAAAACACCAAUAUAAA